AUUGAACGCUGGCGGCAUGCUUUACACAUGCAAGUCGAACGGUAACAGGGAGCUUGCUCCGCUGACGAGUGGCGAACGGGUGAGUAAUGCGUCGGAACGUGCCGAGUAGUGGGGGAUAACGCAUCGAAAGGUGUGCUAAUACCGCAUACGUACUGAGGUAGAAAGUGGGGGACCUUCGGGCCUCACGCUAUUCGAGCGGCCGACGUCUGAUUAGCUAGUUGGUGAGGUAAAGGCUCACCAAGGCGACGAUCAGUAGCGGGUCUGAGAGGAUGAUCCGCCAAACGGGGAGCGAGACACGGCCCAGACUCCUACGAGAGGCAGCAGUGGGGAAUUUUGGACAAUGGGCGCAAGCCUGAUCCAGCCAUGCCGCGUGUCUGAAGAAGGCCUUCGGGUUGUAAAGGACUUUUGUCCGGGAGCAAAUGCCUGGUGUUAAUAGCACUGGGAGCUGAGAGUACCGGAAGAAUAAGCACCGGCUAACUACGUGCCAGCCGCCGCAGUAAAAC
rnacentral:rRNA from 1 species